GACGAACGCUGGCGGCGUGCUUAACACAUGCAAGUCGAACGGAAAGGCCCUGCUUUUGUGGGGUGCUCGAGUGGCGAACGGGUGAGUAACACGUGAGUAACCUGCCCUUGACUUUGGGAUAACUUCAGGAAACUGGGGCUACUACCGGAUAGGAGCUCCUGCUGCAUGGUGGGGGUUGGAAAGUUUCGGCGGUUGGGGAUGGACUCGCGGCUUAUCAGCUUGUUGGUGGGGUAGUGGCUUACCAAGGCUUUGACGGGUAGCCGGCCUGAGAGGGUGACCGGCCACAUGGGGACUGAGAUACGGCGCAGACUCCUACGGGAGGCAGCAGUGGGGAAUAUUGCACAAUGGGUGGAAGCCUGAUGCAGCAACGCCGCGUGCGGGAUGACGGCCUUCGGGUUGUAAACCGCUUUCGCCUGUGACGAAGCGUGAGUGACGGUAAUGGGUAAAGAAGCACCGGCUAACUACGUG
rnacentral:rRNA from 1 species